AGGAGGCCAAGAGCGUCAUGAGGAAGAAGGCGAUGCCCACGGCCAGAGGCAGGUGUUCCCGCUUGGGGCUGGUCCCACUGAUGCUCUUCUCAAGCUUGGGCACCUGGGGAUUCUCUCCCUCAAAGUCUUCUGUGGAAAGAUAAAUAGGCAGACUGGAAGCCAAGGGAGCCCCAAAGCAGGGAGGCAAGGAUGCGGACGUGGUUGGAAACCGACGCUACUUACUGGAGGCGCAGCAGACGAACACCUUCAUCCUCAGACACUUCCAGUGCAGGUUGUGAGUGGGCGUGGCUGGGGAGGAGAUUUCUUUCACUCACUUGGUGCCCUUGCGGCUUUAACAUAGACUCCCAUCCCCCUCCAAAUUGCCCGCAUCCGGCUGUGUCCCCAAGUCUCUGCUCCAAUCUUUCUUUGGACAUUGGUCACCAUGACUUCGUGGCUAACCCAUCCCAACAGAAAUGCUCUGCGACCCAAAUUUGGGACUGUCACUCCAUCCCCACAGCCUUGCAACUUCUCAGAGCUGAAACCCUGAAGCCUAUCCCUGGUGACCACUACAACGGCUGGCCGGGGAUCCCUGGGACCCCACCCUGUCAUUCAGAAGACCCAGGACCCGGCACUCACAGAUGUAGUAGUAUUCUUGGCCGGCAUGGAAUUCAUAGCCCAGCGAGAAGGCGCUGUAACGCUGGAACUUCUCGGAGAACUUGAUGGGGCUGUGCGAGGCGUGCUGCCGGUUGCAUUCCCAGCGCUUGGAGCCUUGGCUGGCGUUGCAGAUGAGUCUCUGCGACAGAGAAGCAGAUCUGGAUGCCCUGGAAGCCUCACCUGCCUGACAGUCCCAUCUACGUGUUGCUGUGGACAUCCUUUGUGGUGGCACUGAACGGUGUAGGGAGUCAGAGGCAGCUCAAUCCACACGUGUGGAAGAUCGGGUAGAAGUCGUCUUUAACUUCUUUAAGGCAAGUAUGCACACAUGUUGGUAGUGCUAUGGGACUGUCGUGGGCACAGGGAAGCAUGGGCCACAGGGUAAAAUGUCAAUCCAUCGGGGUCCCUAGACCCUGAGAACUCACUGAGGGAAAGAACUGGCUCCCCAUGUCACCAAGCAGAACCUUGUUUCACAAACAAUAAUUAGACACAUUAGGGAAAUGAUCUUGGAGGCCUCUUCUUGGGAUGAGGCCUUGAGGGUCCUCCCUGUCAUUACCCAACAUCGUUGGCUGUACUUGUGUUGCCCGGUCCCCAAGACUAGCAACGAGGCAGAUGGGUAACAGCUGGUGUUUGGACUCUCUAGUAAGAACGGGCACAGCCUUCUUGAGUCAUCAGGAAUGCCACCAGUCCCACUUGGUUCCCAUGGGAGUGAUGGGUCACUCGGGCCCCUCCCUGUCCCUGGCACUCAGGUGGGCAGGAGUCUCGACGGGGCGCUGGGAGCAGGAAAACGGGUUAGACAAGGCCUGAUUGCUCCCAGGCACCACCCAUGCAUUGUGUGUCCAUCCCAAACCGUAGGCUCCUGUUCCUUCCCUAAGGACCUGGGGAGGGGGCGGCCAGCUAGCCAGCACAUGGUGGCAGGCCUGGGGCAGCCCCAUAGCUCCCCUGGGGCCUUGUUCCCUUGGCCUCACCCGUGUAUCCGGUUUGAUUUGGAAGCAGCUCCUCCCUGCAGCUGCCCCAUCCCUUCCAACCACACACCCAUUACAGUGGAUUUUAAGUCAACUCCAAAGAUGUUCCUACAGGUGGUGCCUCAGUUUCCUCAAGACAGUGAGCUGGGUAUAUUUAGUGGUUGCUGUGUGACAGCGACAGGAGAAGAAGCCUCCUCUUACCUAUCUCUGUGAUUGACGGCAGAAAAGCCCCAGAAAUGCACCCCCCCC
ensembl:antisense Gm15998 predicted gene 15998